rnacentral:lncRNA from 1 species
UUCAUAUUUAUCAGCUCCUCAAUCUUAGGAAUUAGAUAUGUCUGCCAUUUAUGGGAGCGAUCACAUCUCUCAUGCAUCAACUCCAUUACCUUAUACCAUAGCAUAUCUACCAUAGGAGUUAUUGGAAGCUGUCAUGCCUCUUUCGCUCAAUUGUUAAAUAACUCUACAACAUUAGAGUAUAUCUCCCCAUAUCACUCUGCC